GGGCUUACACAAGCGGUGGAGCAUGUGGUUUAAUUCGAAACAACGCGCAAAAACCUUACCAAUCUUUGAUAUAUACAUCAAAAAAUGUUUUAUUUAUAUUUUUUUUGUAUACAGGUGCUGCAUGGCUGUCGUCAGUUCGUGGCGUGAGCUGUUGGGUUAAGUCCUAGAACGAACGCAACCCUCAUUUUAAGUUGUUUUAUUAGAAUCUCUUAAAAACUGCCAGUGAUAUACGGGAGGAAGGUGAGGAUGACGUCAAGUCCGCAUGGCCCUUAUAGGUUGGGCUACACACGUGCUACAAUGGUGAUGACAAAAAGAAGCAAUAUGGUGACAUGGAGCAAAUCUUAAAAAUCAUCCCAGUUCGGAUUGUUCUCUGCAACUCGAGAACAUGAAGUUGGAAUC
rnacentral:rRNA from 1 species